AAAGCCCUGAAGGCCAGAGGGCACUGGGGCAUGAUUAUCUUUGCACUCAGCUUACUGUGUUUUGCUCCACGGUUGGAUUUCCAGCAUGUAUCUGGAAGAACAGCUCUGAACACUGCAGCCUUUAAAGACAGUGGCUAUGUUAAGCAGCCCCUAAGGUUGGAGAGAAAUGACCUUUUAAAAGGGACAAGAAACAGUCAAAAUGGACAAUGCGAAACAAUGAAGGUCAGAGGAAAGCAUUCUGCUACAUCAGCAUCUUUUUGAUGCUUUAAUGAGCAUUUUUUGAUUAUUCAUCCAAUUAUAUAAUAUCUUCAACUGAUUUGACUUGCAAAUCUAGUGCCUGUUCCUGAGUCAAAUGAGCCAGAGUACUUUGCAGUUCUUCACUUCCACAAUAUUUCAUGACUCUUACUAAAGUCAUUAUAAUAGUGGCCUUUACUGUUACAAUAAAUCCCAGGCAUCAAUUAUA